UACGGGGGGGCAAGCGUUGUUCGGAAUUACUGGGCGUAAAGGGCUCGUAGGCGGCCAACUAAGUCAGACGUGAAAUCCCUCGGCUUAACCGGGGAACUGCGUCUGAUACUGGAUGGCUAGAGGUUGGGAGAGGGAUGCGGAAUUCCGAGGUGUAGGCGGUGAAAUGCGUAGAUAUCUGGAGGAACACCGGUGGCGAAGGCGGCAUCCUGGACCAAUUCUGACGCUGAGGAGCGAAAGCCAGGGGAGCAAACGGGG
rnacentral:rRNA from 1 species